rnacentral:rRNA from 1 species
GACGAACGCUGGCGGUGUGCUUAACACAUGCGAGUCGAACGGUAAGGCCCUUUCGGGGGUACACGAGUGGCGAACGGGUGAGUAACACGUGAGUAACCUGCCCUCAUCUCUGGGAUAACAGUCGGAAACGGUUGCUAAUACUGGAUAUGAGCUUGCAAGGCAUCUUGUGGGUUGGAAAGAUUUUUUUGGUUGGGGAUGGACUCGCGGCCUAUCAGCUUGUUGGUGAGGUAGUGGCUCACCAAGGCUUCGACGGGUAGCCGGCCUGAGAGGGCGACCGGCCACAUUGGGACUGAGAUACGGCCCAAACUCCUACGGGAGGCAGCAGUGGGGAAUAUUGCACAAUGGACGGAAGUCUGAUGCAGCAACGCCGCGUGCGGGAUGACGGCCUUCGGGUUGGAAACCGCUUUCAAUUGUGACGAAGCUUUUUGUGACGGUAGCAGUAGAAGAAGCACCGGCUAACUACGUG